CAGCUCCGGGCGCGCAGCCAGAGCCGGCCGGCGGCACUGGGAGACUGCAGGCCCUGAGUUGGGCAGCGCGCCCAGCGCCGAGGAACUCCCGUGUAGAAGGAGCUGCGGAGCCACAGCUGCCCCACGGGACGCGGAUGAGACUGUAAAACUCCAUUUGCAAAAAUCUGCUACGGUAAGGAGUGCUCGCUAGCAUGAGGAGUUCGUCACGUCGGGCGUCAUCUUUUGCUAGUGGUAAAUCCAGGACCUGCCUUCGGCAAACGCCGGCCGCUCCCCGGCGCUCCCGAAGCCGCCCCGCCGGCCGCAGAGGAAGGGAAUGAGAAUCGGCCCCGCCGCCGUGGGAGAGGGGACGGGACCCCCCCGGGCAGCCCCGCGCUGGGCCGCGUAAAGUGCAUGAUAUUGCAGGAGCCAGGCCCGGCCCUCCUUGCAAGGUGUUUUGCCAUCCAGCGGCCCCCGGCUCCUCCUGCGCCCCGGGAUAACCGCCUGCUCCGCCAUCUUGUCGGCCUCGCGCUGCCUCCAGGAGCCGCCCGUCGCCUCCUUCCAUCGCUGCCGAGCUCCGAGCUUCAAUCCGUGCUGCAGGACGGGGCGAGCGCCUUCCCACACAGCGGGCCUGGAAUGUGCCACGCUCAGAGCCAACACCACCACACCCAGCAGCAGCGCCCUGCCGGGCACCGCCGCAGCCACGGGAGGACGAGGAGGGACCCGCAGCACGCACAGACGUCCCCAAAACCUCCCGGCACGGAGCUGAGCUGCUCUUCCAACGGCCAUCUUCUCAAUCUGCUCCCGGCCCCGUGGCAAAUAUCUGCUGAGAGACGGUCGCCGCGCCGCCCCGCGUACCAUCACCACUCGCUUCACGGUUCUUUUUAACUUUUUUUUUUUUUUCCUUUUUAAUUUUUUUUUUUUUUUCAUCUUCUAUUUUAAAAGAGAAGCCGGCGAGGUGGGUUUUCUUUUCCGCCAACGAGAGAAGCUGCCCCUCAGUGCAGAGCGGAGCAGCUGGGGAGCGAAGCGCCUCGGAACCGCGCCGGGGAGCGGCCGCAUCCCGACGAGUCGCCCUCCGCUGUCACGGAGUGAUGGACCACUCAAUAUGAGGGGAUCACUGCAGCCAACUCCUGUGCCCGUUACCCCGGGGCGGCCGGAAGCACGCGGGGUAACGCAGCGUUUCCGUUUUCUCUUGGGAGGGAGCGGGGAAAAUCGAAGCAGUUUUGACUUUGACGGAGCCGUGGGAUUUGAUUCUUGGGCUGAUCCACGCGGGCGGCCGGCCCGGACGUCUCGGCUAUUUACACGAGGUUCUGGGGCGCUAUACAAGAUUUACAUUUCCGUUUGUACAGCAGAUGCUUUGAUAGAGUCGCGCUCUCAAACCGUCCCUUCCGGGGCGACAGAAAUCUGGAAGCUCCACAAACCCGGCGUUCCCCUUCCGGAUAAAAGCCUUUUGCCCGUCUCCUACAGAAUCCAAGCCAUUGAAAAAGAAAAACAAAAACAAAAACCAACCAAGCGAAACAACCACCUCAUAUCUAUACACACAUACAGGGCUGUGUGUAUACAGACACAGAAGGAACAACCGAACCGCCGCCACGCGAAGCCCGGCUCUGCCCGCUGGCGUUGGGGAGCAGGAGGGGAGUCGGCUCCCACCACCGAGCACGGCAGACCACCACCACAACCCCUCUCCUCCCCUCGCGGGGUGCAGCCGGGCCUCGCUCAGCCUCUCCGUGUGGCUGCGGCCAGAAAACACCGCACCGCUCUGCUUGUUCUCUCUUUGUUGCUGCGAGAUUUCUUCCCCCGACGCGCUCUGCUCUUCUCACCCGUGUGCUGGAAGGUCAAAUGGAGCUGUGGGAGGUUUCUGUACAUAGAUACAGCGCUCAGAGCCGGCGCCGGGUGGGACAGAUGUGCUGGGUGUUGGGUUUUUUUUGGCCUGCGUGAUGUUUGCCUCUUCCCUUUUCCACGUGGCUCCUAAGCGGCGCUACCACGGAGUAAGAAAGGUAAGGCGAAUUCAGCCAAAAAAAAAUCCAAAAAAAAAAACCAAAAAAAGGAGAAAAAAAAAAAAACCCCAAAAAGAAUAUAUAUAUUUAUAUAUAUAUAUAUAUAACCCUCUUCGAAAAGGAGAGGUACCGCCCGCGUCGGCGCAAGAACCGGAGUGGCUCCCAGCAGCUGAGCAACAGAAAGUCCAUCAGCACCGAAGCGAGGGGACGCGGCGCUGCUGGCGCGGACACACACAGCAAUACAGCAGGACAUCACUGGGACAGCUGCCUUACAGUACAAAAUACAGUACGAGUGUACGGCGCCGGGCGGACACGCAGGAAUUACUAUUGCUCCCGGGAGGGCGUCGGAAACCGAGUCCUUUCGUGAUGGAGGAGAGUUAAAAACAGGAAAACGGAAGAGAGUCCUGGUUAAAAAUUCCCUUCAAAAGGGGCGGCGGGGGGCGCGUGGGGACGGCCCCGCUGGGAUGAGCCGCCCUCGGCCGUGCCUCACUUCUGCCAAUAAAUACGGAGCAAACGGAGCGGGGCGGCCGGGAGAGGGAUGGAGACAAUAAAUUAAGAAGGCAGCUGAAAUGAGAGGGCGGGCGUGCGUGGUGUGAGACAGAACCGGAGGGACGACGACGGUCCUACGAGAGCCUGGGAGGCGUCACACAGCAAUAGCUGGAACUUUGGAAUGAACAGCGGGCUCCCAUUCAGUUCAAAGUUAGGAGUACGGCGUGUUGGCUUAAAAAAAACCCCGCUGUGCAGGGCGGGACUGAGCCGAUUGCUUUAAAAAAUAAAGACCAUUCGAG
ensembl:lncRNA